CAUUUUGAAGCAGCCGCUGAAUAAGGUAAACUCAUUAAUGAGGACUCCAGAAGAAAUGAUGAGUAUUAAGUGUAUUUUCAUUCCACUUCUAGCACUGGCCCUUCCAGGGCGUGUGAAAGCAGACUGGAUCAGACCCCAGGAGACUAGAGUAUCUGGAAUGGAGGGAAAGACUACUCACUGACAGAGCCUCCACUGGAAUGCCCUGUGUGUCUCCAACUCAUCUUCGAGAUGGACAAGUAAGAAAAAGCUACCAUCAGCUAUCUGUAGUAGACCCAGUUGGUGGAAGAUUGAAUAUAUGGUAGCAGAAAUCUCCAUCGACCGUUCAUGGGAAACCAUUUCUGGUUUCAAAGAGGGAAGAGUAGGUAAAGCUAUAAUCCUCACAAUUAGUUUUGUCUUACAAUUGUUUGAAAUUAGUUAUAUAUUUAAGUUGUACCUGGCAGGGAGAUGAAUAGCUUCUCUUUUUUAAAACAUUGGGGAGUUCCCGUCAUGGCGCAGUGGUUAACGAAUCCGUCUAGGAACCAUGAGGUUGCGGGUUCGGUCCCUGCCCUUGCUCAGUGGGUUAACGAUCCGGCGUUGCCGUGAGCUGUGGUGGUGUGUGCCGUGAGCUGUGGUGUAGGUUGCAGACGCGGCUUGGAUCCCGCGUUGCUGUGGCUCUGGCUAACAACAAUAACAACAACAACAAAAGACAAAAAAAAAAAAAAAACCACAUUAGAACAUCACAGGUAAAGCAUACGUCCUCUCUGUCCAUAUCUUCAUCUGGUUUCUUUUCCCAGAGGUAAAUGCUACUUGGGGUUUGUAAUAUAUGUUUAGAUUCCUUAUCAUAAUUAAUAUGGACAUAUAUGUAUGCAUGUACUCAUGGAAAAUAUAUACUAUUAUCCUGUGGUAUUUUUACAUAAACGUUAACAGAUUAAUGUUCUAAUCAGAAAUUUCCUUUUAUCUUACUCAACAAAGUGAACUUGAAGCCUAACCAUGUUGAUAGACAGAGACUAUUUUAUCCCCUUUUAAUUCAUACAAGGUAAAUCAUUGUAUCAAUAGCCUAUUGUUUAUUUACUAAUACCAGUAGUAAUGAUAUUAUUUCUCUGUAAGGUAGAGAACCAAGGCUCAGAAAGAUUAACUUACCAACAUCACAUGACCAGUAAGUGGCAGAAUGGAACAUAAAUCAAGUCUUCUGACUCUUAGAAGGUUCUUCUAACCCUAAUCUAUGUUUUUCUUGUUUCUCAUUUCCAACACCAUAAGGACCGGGAGGAAGGCUUUCUUCACAGAAACCAAAUCUCCCAAGCAAAUCUGAAUAGAUGGCUCCUUAUAUAAAUUGCUUCUCAUUUGGCAUUGCCUGUGACUAUUAGGCAAAAUAGACAACAAAGCCCCUCUUCGCCAUAUUUGUAAGCUUUCCAAUAAUGCUACACUGUGGUUGAUGCUGCCAUUUUUUCCCACUCGCUCCGAUUUCCCUCACUUCCAACCAAAGAAGCCUAUCUCUAUUCAAAAUAUUCCACAACAGGCAAUCAAGCCUGAUAUUUGCAUCUACUGGGGAACAAAACAGACAGUGGAUAACUGUGGGAAGCCAUGACGUGAUGGAGCAUCAGCAUAUUGUACUGGACACCCAGCUUCCAGCUCUGCAGCUUCAGGGUCCCAGGGCUCUACGUGAGGCUGGUCAGGCACACAGCACAGAGGGGAGCCCUGGGCUUGGCAGGACAAGACAGUUUACUCAGGGAGAGCUGAAGAUUGCCUGCAUGUGCUCACCAGCCUGCCCAGGACGACUGCGGCUCCAUCUUCCUCGGUAGGGACUGAUGUCCCUGAAGUGGGAACAUCUAGAGAUGCUUUGGGCCAGAGAGAAAAGAAGUAAUAGAUAUAAGGCUGUGAUUUCUUCAGCAACCUCCUUCAGUCACAGAGGGUUCAGGGGGUUCUAAACAGGCUGUUCAGAACCAUCUCACUGUGAGUCACAGAUUCAACCCACCUUGUUCUCUGUUGUCACUUCUGCCAAAUUCGGGAGCACCCAAAGAGUCGUUCAACCUCAGCCCAAGAUCUUUACACAAGAAGGGGAGUUUGUGGCUCUGAACUACAAAUACUUUGCAAGUAAUCUGAUUAUUUUCUUUCUGGAUUUGGGAGGCAUCCCAGUGGGGAGACAUUGCAAGUGAUUUUUCAAAUUUCAGCAGCCUCCAGGAUGGACCGUUUUUUAUGAACUUGCAGAAAGCAGCCAACACUGUCCAUUCUCACCAUCUCAACUGUGAGGCCAGGAGACUCAAAGGUCCACUGCUCAAGAUGUGUGCUCAAGAUGUCCAUAGUAAGAGGAACAACAAAAACUAUAAGAACAAAACCUCAGAACUUGUACCCCAGAUUCACCUGCUGCAGGGGUUGGGGGAGACCCACAGACCCUAAACUGAAAAGAAGAUUAGAAACGGUGGGGAGCAUAAAUGAAGUAUGGAAAGGAAAUGGAUAAUUGUGUUACAGGAAAAACCAUCUCGGACUGCAUUCACUGAAUGUUUUCAAUCCCCAAUUCUAAAAUAGAUUCUCACAUUCAAAUUUUAGCAGAUUAGAGGAAAAAAAAAAAAGCCAGCAUUUUCUUUUAACCUCAUUAUUCUUUUUACUUUAAACUUUUUUAAAUGAAUUAGAUUUUUUAUUAGAGUAUAGCUGAUUUCCAGUGUCAAUUUCUGCUGUAUACAUAGUGACCCAGUUAUAUAUACAUAUAUAUACAUUCUUUUUCUCAUAUCAUCUACCAUCAUGUUCUAUGCCCAAUCUUUUUUCUUUAAACUUUUAAUAAAAUUCA
rnacentral:lncRNA from 1 species